rnacentral:lncRNA from 1 species
GAAUAAUAUAUAUAAAUAUAGUAAUUACGAGAAUUUAAAUGCGUAAUUUAAAUGCAGAAAUUAAAGGCAUAAAAUAAAAGCAUAAACUUAAAUUGCAGAAAUUUAAAUUGCAGAAAUUUAAAUUGCAGGAAUUUAAAUAGCAUAAAUAAAAUCGGGAGGCUCAGCCUACCACAUGAUCCGAGGAGUCAUAGACUACCAUAUUGAUCAUUUUUCAAAGUCCGAGGAUAGAUGGUCUACCAUUUUGACUUUAUUUAUUUUAAGGUCCGAGGAGACUUAGUCUACCAUUUUUGACCUUUUUAUUCACGGAGGCAAAGCCUACCACGUGUUUCUCUGAUCGUGAAGGCAUAGCCUACCAUAACGAUCAGUCGGGAAAGGCAGCGCCUAUCAUCCCGAAUGGAGAAGGUCCAGCCUCUCACUCCGAAACAAUAAUAAAAUUUAAAUAAAUUAAGUGUAUUGAAAUACAUAAAUUUAAACAUUACCUCGGCUGGUUUAAGAACUUUUGGAUUGAUAAACUUCAGUUGGUCAGAGCUUCGUGCUGAUAACGUGUUGUGUAUUACUAAAUAGAAGUGAGAAACUAAAGAU